rnacentral:lncRNA from 1 species
CCAGGAAUUCAGGCCCCUCAGGAAGGAUGGUUUGGGAAACACCACCAUUUUCCCCUCAGGAAGAGAGGCCCACCAGAACCCCAGAAGAGCUGCUCCACAACUGUGCUAUGAAGUGGAGCCACACGGGACACAAGUGUGUGCUUCUGGAAGAAUCUAACUGGAACAGAUGUGUCCAAGAGGCCCCUGAAUUCAAGCUGUUCCCUGCUCCCAAUCCUGGGAGGUGUGACCUGACUAAUCAGAACUGCUAUUUUCUCAUAUAUAAAAUUAAAGACAUUUCUUUCUUAUCUACAUUAUAUGAUUAUUGUGAUGCUAAAUGAAUAUGUGCAGGAAAAUGCUAUGCAAUUUGAAAAGCACUAUGUAAACUAUUAUAGUUUUUAUUGAAAGGCUGAAAGAGUUAAAGCAUUUCCCGGAUUACCUAACCAUCCUCAACAGUUAAAAAAAAAAUCCAGACAGAUGAUCAUUUUCAAGCCCUUUCAAAGCUAGUAUGGUGGAUGUGGUUUUUCUGUAGCUUUACUUAUCCCCAGGGAGUAAUUUAUACACUCAAAGAUCUUGCUUGACAAUCAGAUACAGACCUAAAUAAAGAAUUGUUUGGUACUAUGGUAACCUGCCAUGGGAAUUUCGGUUUCUUUCUUUCCCUUUCUAGGAUAACAAUUCCUAAGACAGAGGAAAUGAGAAACAUUGAAACAACUCUUUUGACAAAACACUGUGGCCAGCGCAUUGGGGAAAAAUACUUCACACCUAUAUGAUCACGAACCAAUUUUCUCUAGCACUAUUGUGAUAAGACAAUUUUAUAUCUGUG